AGAUUGCUGAAGCACCGGAGCCAACGCUGUUGCAAAUUGCCCCAACGAAGAAAUACACCCUUGGCAGGGAGUGCCAAAUAUAGACGACUUCUCCGCAGACAGCUAUCGGGGGACCUAUGGGAUCUUCGCCGUGACAGACAAGGGCGACUACCGUAACCCAACCUGAUGAUUGAGAGGCUAUGACAAACAAAUCUUUAAAACACUUCCUACAAACAUAUUUUAAAACACAGUAACAAAUGAUAAAUGGAUAUUUAAUGUAUAGGUAAAUUUGCAACGCUAUGCUGUAACAUUAUUGGGUACUAGAAAAAAUUAUUGUUUGGGGAAGGCAUUUACAAGCAAAACACUCAUAUUGGGUAUUGUAACUCUGUGCGCCUGUUAUCGAACACACACUAUACUCAGUGUAUUUAUCAAUACA